rnacentral:rRNA from 1 species
AGAGUUGAUCAUGGCUCAGGAUGAACGCUGGCGGCGUGCUUAACACAUGCAAGUCGAACGGAGUUUUUAAACGGAAGUUUUCGGAUGGAAGUUAAAAACUUAGUGGCGGACGGGUGAGUAACGCGUGGGUAACCUGCCUCAUACAGGGGGAUAACAGUUAGAAAUGACUGCUAACACCGCAUAAUAUAGCGAAACCGCAUGAUUUUUGCUAUCAAAUAUUUAUAGGUAUGAGAUGGGCCCGCGUCUGAUUAGCUAGUUGGUGGGGUAAAGCCUACCAAGGCGACGAUCAGUAGCCGGCUUGAGAGAGUGACCGGCCACAUUGGGACUGAGACACGGCCCAAACUCCUACGGGAGGCAGCAGUGGGGAAUAUUGGACAAUGGGGGAAACCCUGAUCCAGCGAACCGCCGCGUGAGUGAAGAAGUAUUUCGGUAUGUAAAGCUCUAUCAGCAGGGAAGAUAAUGACAGUACCUGACCAAGAAGCCCCGGCUAACUACGUGCCAGCAGCGGC